GCUUCAUAUGAUUUCUGGAUUAUGUGUCUCAGUACAACAGCAAGUCCUGCUCUACAGAAAUUGUCUGGUUUUUCUACUACUGCAGGACUAAGCCAACUUUGAAGAUUUUGCAGUCACAGUAUGAUAACAAAAAUAAAGUUACAGAUGUAUGAAGAGGAAAGAUACAUCCUUCCAUUUGUGCGAUACUAUACAGAAGAUCCCUAAAUGCUUCAAGAAGCAGAUUUGAAAGAAAACAUGAUUGAUUUCCUCGUUUGCCCAGCAGUC